rnacentral:rRNA from 1 species
UACGUAGGUGGCGAGCGUUGUCCGGAUUUACUGGGCGUAAAGGGCUUGUAGGCGGUCCGUUAAGUCCGAUGUGAAAUCUCCCGGCUCAACUGGGAGAGGUCAUUGGAUACUGGCGGACUAGAGGGGGGUAGAGGAAAGCAGAAUUCCUGGUGUAGCGGUGAAAUGCGUAGAUAUCAGGAGGAAUACCAGUGGCGAAGGCGGCUUUCUGGGCCUACCCUGACGCUGAGACGCGAAAGCGUGGGGAGCGAACCGG